CCGUGUUUACUGUACCUUAGUUGCUUCGGCGGGCCCGCCAUUCAUGGCCGCCGGGGGCUCUCAGCCCCGGGCCCGCGCCCGCCGGAGACACCACGAACUCUGUCUGAUCUAGUGAAGUCUGAGUUGAUUGUAUCGCAAUCAGUUAAAACUUUCAACAAUGGAUCUCUUGGUUCCGGCAUCGAUGAAGAACGCAGCGAAAUGCGAUAACUAGUGUGAAUUGCAGAAUUCCGUGAAUCAUCGAGUCUUUGAACGCACAUUGCGCCCCCUGGUAUUCCGGGGGGCAUGCCUGUCCGAGCGUCAUUGCUGCCCAUCAAGCACGGCUUGUGUGUUGGGUCGUCGUCCCCUCUCCGGGGGGGACGGGCCCCAAAGGCAGCGGCGGCACCGCGUCCGAUCCUCGAGCGUAUGGGGCUUUGUCACCCGCUCUGUAGGCCCGGCCGGCGCUUGCCGAACGCAAAUCAAUCUUUUUCCAGGUUGACCUCGGAUCAGGUAGGGAUACCCGCUGAACUUAAGCAUAUCAAUAG
rnacentral:rRNA from 1 species